UGUAUUGGCAUAUUCUCCAAUACGGGCGUCUUCGAGUCAGCUCGAGUCUUUCCAUUGGUUUAUCCCCUCUGGAAUUCUGCUCCCCAAACAUUGUGGCGUGCCCUGCUCCCACAUUUCUUUCUUAUCCCCAUAGGAGUCCCCAAGAUUUUUGGUCCCGCGGAACAUUUUGCUCAUGUGGAUUGUCGGUGUCUCCUGAUUUCCUUUACUCCUUUGUGGACAC
rnacentral:lncRNA from 1 species